GCCCGCGAGAGACAGCAGCAGCCAAGCGAGGAGAAACGGCUCUAGCAACUCCAUGCAGCAGCUCCACACAGCGAUCAAGGCAACAUUCCGGUGGAAUUCAAAAGUCUGUUAAAGACGGAUCUGUACAAAUCCGUCCAGGUCAGUUUCGUUUCAAUUCAAACCUCAUUCAAAUAAAUUUUCCUAGCUUUGACUGAAUUACAUGCUCGUACUAUGCAAGAAUAAUUUCAUGCUACUAUCUCG
rnacentral:misc_RNA from 1 species